CGCCGCCAUCGCGCCUGCGCACUGGCCAGCAGAGGCGGGGAGCGCGGAGCAGGAGCGCACAGUGUGGGGAGAGCUGGAUUUCCACAUCUCGAUCCUAUGUCAUCACAUGACAUCCCCCGCAAUGGGCAUAGAAUCACUGAAGAAUGAUCAAAUGAUGUUCAGAGCUGGAAGAGGAUGGAGGAGGAGGAAAGAGAGAAAGGCUCUCAGUAAACAGAAUGAGAAUGCGAUUUAUUAUCACUGACAUUUAUUGUGAAAUUUGUUUUGCAGUUGCAGUACAAUGCAAGACAUAAAAAUGACAAUAAAUAACAAUAAAAAAUAAAUAUUGUAGAAGAUAACAUUAUCGAUCAUGAACACUUACGGACAGAUCUUCUACCUGAACGUACCUACCUGUGCCAAAGUCUUGGGCGCAUACAUAUAGCUUAAUUUUAUGUAUUGCACUAUACUGCUGCCAAAAAAAGCUUGUGAUGUAUGUGAAUGAUGAUAACCCUGAUUCUGAUAUGGGUCUCCAAUGUGGAUUGAGAGUGGGAAGGAGGCCGGGAGAGGGGAAUUUUGGUUGGGAAAAGGGGAAGGGAGAGGGGGUGGGAGCAGGAAGCACCAGAGAAGCAUUCUGUAAUGAUCAAUAAACCAAUUGUUUGGAAUCAAAUUACCUCGUAUGAUGUCUUAGGGCUGGGUGAAUCUGCACCUGCACCAUCCCCUCGCCCCUGGCACUUCUUCUCUGCCUCCUGCCGCACACCCUUCCCGUGGAGCUCCAUCCUCACCAUCACAAACGUCCUCUGCUCCUGCCAGAUUUACAAACUUGCUCUCCGUUCCACAUUGACAAACACAUUACUGUGCAAAAGUUUGAGGCACCCUAGCUAUAUACAUGUGUCUAAGACUUUUGCAUAGGACUGUACAUAGAUAGCCCAUAAGACAUAGGAGCAGAAUUAGGUCAUUUGCUCCGCUGUUUAAUCAUGGCUCAUCCUUUUUUUCCCUUCUCAGCCCCACUCCCUGGCCUUUUCCCCAUAACCUUUGAUGCCAUGUCCAAUCAAGAACCUUCAAUGUCUGUCUUAAAUACAUCCAAUGACCUGGCCUCCACAGCUGCCUGUGGUAACAAAUACCACCAAUUCACCACCCUCUGGCAAGAGAAAUUUUUCUGCAUCAGUGUUUUAAAUGGUGGACCCUCUAUCCUGAGGCUAUGCCCCCUUGUCUUAGACUCACCCACCAUGGGAAACAUCCUUUCCACAUCUUCUCUGUCUAGGCCUUUCAAUGUUUAAAAUGUUUCAAUGAAAUCCCCCCCUCAUCCUUCUAAAUUCCAGUGAGAACAGACCCAGAGCCAUCAAACACUCUUCAUAUGAUAACCUUUUAGUUCCUGGAAUCCUGCUUGUGAACCUCCUCUCCAAUGUCAGCACAUCUUUUCUUCGAUGAGGAGCCUUAAACUUUUCACAGUACUCGAGGUGAGACUCUUGGUGUGUUCUGCACAAGGACUCCCAAGUCCCUUUGCAUCUCAGGUAUUUGGAUUUUCUCCCCGUUUAAAAAAUAGUCCACACAUUUAUUUCCACUAGCAAAGUGCACGACCAUGCAUUUAACAACAUCGUAUUUCAUUUGCCAUUUUUUUGCCCAUUUGCCUAACCUGUCUAAUGCCUUCUGCAGUUUACCUUUCCCUCAACACUACUUGCCCCUGCACCUCUCUUUGUAUCAUCUGCAAACUUGCAACAAAACCAUCCAUUCCAUCAAAAAAUCAUUGACAUACAGCAUAAAAAGAAGUGAUCCCAACACUGACCCCUGUGGAACACCACCAGUCACUGGCAGCCAACCAGAAAAGGAUCCUUUUAUUCCCACUCACUACCUCCUACCAAUCAGCCAAUGCUCCACACAUGCCAGUAACUUUCCUGUAAUACCACGGACUCUCAACUUGGUAAGCAGCCUAGUGUGUGGCACUUUGUCAAAGGUAUUCUGAAAGUCCAAAUGUACAUUCCUUUUAUCUAUCCUACUUGUAAACUCCUCAAAGAAUUCCAACAGGUUUGUCAGGCAAGAUUUUCCCUUAAGGGAACCAUGCUGACGUUGUCUUAUCUUGUCCUGUGUCACCAAGUACUCCAUAACCUCAUUCUUAAUGAAUGACUCCAACGUCUUCCCAACAACUGAGGUCAGGUUAACUGGUCUAUACUUUCCUUUCGGCUGCCUUCUUCCUUUCUUAAAGAGUGGAGCAACAUUUGCAAUUUUCCAGUCCUCUGGCACCAUGCCAGAGUGCAAAAAAUUUCUGAAAGAUCAUUACUAAUGCUUCCGCAAUCUCUAUCUCAAUUUCUAUGGAUAGGAACAGCUUAAGUAGUUAUGUGCCAAACAUCGGCAAUGGGAGCAGGUUGAUUGUGCUGCUUACUUGACAUGGACAAGUUGGGCCAAGGGAUCUUAUUUUAUUUUAUUUAGAGAUACGCCAUGGUGGCAGGUCCUUUUGGUCCAACAAACCCAUGCAAUCCAUUUAGACCCAUGUGACCAAUUAACUGACUAACCUAUGCAUCUUUGGAAUGUGUAGUUGCUGGAAGAUACCCAUGGGAAGAACAUACAAUUCCCUUACAGACGGUGGCAGGAAUUGAACACAGGUUGCUGGCACUUUUGUCAUGAUGAGCGUAACACUAACAGUACCAUGCUGUCCCAAAUUCUCUGCUGUAUUGUCUAGGACUAAUGCUACCAUGACUACCAAAUCUUGCUAUCUCAUUACUGACGACAUAGCUAUUGACUUACCUCCAUGAUCCAUGGAAAAAGAUGGACUAUGAAGGCUCCUUCACAGACCAUGUUUACAGCUGAUUGUUGGUCUGUGACUAAAUAAUACUGUGGGCAGAUAACAAGCAGAUUACUGGCAGAAUGAAAGUAAAGAAAAAAAGAUGAACGAUUAGUUUUAUUUUUCACGUGUAUUGAAAUAUUGAAAAACUCACUGAAAUGUUUCAUUUUGUCAGUCCAAUUUUGUGCUGAGCGCAGUCUGCAAGCAUUGCCAUGCUUCCAACGCCAACAUACUAUGCCCAGAACAUACUAACCAUAACCUGUACAUCUUUGGAACAGAGAAAACAUACAGACUCCCUAUAAACAGUGACGGGAAUUGAACCCCAGUUGCUGGCGAUAUAAAGCAUUAUGCCAACUGCUACUCUAUCAUACUGUACGUGGAGGAAUAGAAUGGAAUUGCACUAUAAGUAAAGUCAUCUUAUUACGUCCUGCCAUAAAUUUUUUGCAAUGCGUGUCCAAAGGGUCUCCUAGACCCUGUAUUUGAGUUUCAUUUCUCCAUCUCCUCCAUCCAAUUCCAAUGCAGCUUCAUAAAAGUAUGGGGCCUGCUCUUUCUCAAGUUUCGUCAUUAAUAUAUCUUUUUUCACAAGUGCUUUCUUAAAGAUGAAGUAUGAAAGAAAACUAGCCAAUAAUAUAAAAAAAGGAUACAAAAAUUUUUUUCUGAUAUAUAAAGCGUAAAAGAGAGGCAAAAAUGGAUAUUGAACAGCUGGAAGAUUAUGCUGGAGAGAUAGUAAUGGGUAACAAAGAAAUCAUGAGUGAUCUUAAUAAGUAUUUUGCAUUAAUCUUCAGUAGAAGACACCAGCAGAAUGCCAGAAAUAUGAUAAUAUCAGGGGCCAAAAGUUGUUAUUAUUACAAAGAAGGUGCUUGGGAAGCUGAAAAGUCUAAAGACAGAUAAGUCACCUGGACCGGAUGGACUACACCUCAGGGUUCUGAAAGAAGUAGCUGAAGAGAUAGAGGCAGCAUUAGCAAUGAUCUUUCUAGAUUCUGGCAUGGUUCCAGAGGAAUGGAAAAUUGCAAGUGUCACUCAACUCUUUAAGAAGGGAGGGAAGCAGAAGAUUGGAAAUUAUAGGCCAGUUCGCUGACUUCAGUGAUUGGAAAGAUGUUGGAGUCCAUUAGCAAGGGUGGGGUUUUGGGGUACUUGGAGGCAUAUGAUAAACCAGGCCAAAGUCAGCAUGGUUUUUCAAGGGGAAAUCUGUUGGAAUUCUUUGAUGAAAUAACUAGUAGGAUAGACAAAGGAGAGACAAUGGAAUUUUAAUUGGAUUUUCAGAACGCGGAACUCUGCCUCCCAGCUACGGGCAUGUAAGACUAGUUGCUUCUUGUCCGCCUUUAAUCUCUCCCUUUUCCGAUUUAAACUUUGAAAUUUCAACUUUAUUCAGUUGGAUCAGUUAUAAUUAUGGCUACUCUCAGAAGCGCCAAAAGAAAUCCGGACCCAGGCAAUGGAAAGUCCAAGAAAACCAACGAAUUCUGGGAGGAACUCCCCUGGGUAAAGAGACUAGAAUCUCAAAUCAGCAAUAUCAGCAUUGAGAUAACUCAACUAAAAGAGAAAUUUGAAGGAAAAGUCGACUCUUUGAGCCUUGAUCUUAAAGAAGCCAGUUGAAAUACUGUGCACCUUUCUUCACGUUUGGGAAAAGCUCACAAUGGAUCGUCGAUCUCGAAGCUCAAUCACGUCGGAACAAUAUUCGAAUUGUUGGAUUAAAAGAGAAAUCAGAAUUGGCCGACGCACCGGAUUAUUUCACAAAAAUGUUUCAGAUUUUAUUUCCGGAGGUUUGUUUACAGCCUUCAGAUAUCGAAAUGGCUCAUAGAAUCGGCACUUUAAAAUUUUUGGAUCAAGGUAAAAACAGACAUAUUGUGGUGCGCUUUCUCCAUUUCAGAGACAAAGACCAUAUUAUUAAGCUUGCAAGAAAAAAAAGACUCUUUCAAUAUCAGAAUUCAGACAUUCGUUUCUAUGAAGAUUUUCCACGCGAAAUUGUUAAAAAGUGUGCUGGAUUUGCAAAUGCUAUGAAAUCAGCAUAUGAAAAAAAGCUCUUUCCAUUGCUCCAAUAUCCAGUGAAACUGAGGCUCUUCGUUAAAAAAUCUGGUUUUCAUUUCUUUGAUGAUACACUUGAUGCAUUGAGUUUUAUUAAUUCUUUAUCCGACGAAUGAUGAAUCAGAAGCUUGAAUGAUUUAUAAUGAUUUGAUUGUCUUGUGGUGUAAAGAGUGAUGACAUUGAAAGGUUUGAUGGUUACAGAAGUCUUUACUUUAAAAUACAUUUUUAUCUCUGAAAAAGACUGAUUUGGAUGGCUUCAAUUUCAGAAGACAUAGUGGGAGAACUGUCGAUAGUCUGUAAUAAAUUUGAACCAUUUAGAAUUUUUUUCUGCAGCAUUUAAAUGAAUUAAUUGUUUUUUUUUUGUUUCGUAUGCUUUUGUAAAGAUUUUUUUAAGUAAUUAUUUGGAUUUCUUUAUGUUUUAAAGAUAGGACUGACAAUUUAAAGAUGGCGAUUGUUUUUCUUCUGUGCAAAUAUUUCAAGGAUUGUUUUGGAUGUGUUUUUCUUCCCUUUUCUAAUGUUAUGAAGGCUACUUUCAAUUGAAGGUCUUUUUGUUAUACAAGAAAAAUGCUUUCUUUCCAAGUUAAUUAUAUUGAGAUAUAUGUCGACUGUAAUGAGUUUUAUGAUCGGUAGAGGCAGACAGAGAUUAUUUUUUAAAUUUUUUUCUUUUUUUGCUGAGGUAGGCGGACUUUGUAUUUGCAUUAGUGUCUAUGCUUUGCUUGGGGCUUGCGUCGAUUGAUAUCGACUUGUUUCUGGGCUUUGUAGUUUGGGUGGGAUUUUCUUUCUUUUUUUUCCCAAUUAUGGAAUCCUGGAGCAUAUGCCAAUUAUUUUUAUUGUUGUGCAUCUCCGCCAUUUUCGACUAUCGUAUCCUGGCAUACGUCUAACUAUUGUUUUUAGACACAAAGUACAGCUAAAUGUUUUAACUUGGAAUGUUCAUGGCUGGAAUCAUCCUAUUAAGCGUAAGAAAACAUUUAAAGUUAUGAACCGAUUCCAGCCUGAUAUAAUUUUUGCUCAAAAGACGCAUAUCAGGUUAUGUGAUAAAAAUCGAUUUUUCAAAUUUUGAAUGGGUCCUCAGUUUCAUACAAAUUCCCAGAGUAAAACUAGAGUGUUUCUAUUUAUAUUGAUUUCAAUAUUCCUUUUAACCAGGAGGAUAUUAUAACUGAUAUCAAUGGUAGAUUUCUGAUUCUUAAAGGAACAAUUUGUAAUAGAAAAAUGGACAAAAUGUUUCGAUCCCUCAUUUUUUAAAACUGUUUUUGCAUUAUUACCUGAUUUAAACAAACAUAUGUUAUUAAUGGGUGGUGUAGUGUUCUCGCUUGGGUGUAACGGAAUGCCGAACUAAACACCGAGGUAAACCGUAGUCAAUGAAAACAAGGUCGCAGUAAGAUUAACCAUUUACUGUUCACUCUUCCACAUUAACGUAUGGUGAAAACUGUUGAUAAAACAA